GCCUGCGUAGCUCAGUAGGUAGAGCACUUCCUUGGUAAGGAAGAGGUCACCGGUUCAAAUCCGGUCGUAGGCUC
rnacentral:tRNA from 1 species